UACGGAGGGGUGCGAGCGUUGUCCGGAAUCACUGGGCGUAAAGGGCGCGUAGGUGGCGCGGGAAGUCAACGGUGAAAGUUCAGGGCUCAGCCCUGAAUCGGCCGUCGAUACUCCCGGGCUUGAGCACUGUAGAGGCAGAUGGAAUUCCGGGUGUAGCGGUGGAAUGCGCAGAGAUCCGGAAGAACACCGGUGGCGAAGGCGGUCUGCUGGGCAGUUGCUGACACUGAUGCGCGACAGCGUGGGGAGCAAACAGG
rnacentral:rRNA from 1 species